UCCGAGUUGACCCCGGCAGUCUCCUGCGAGUCCCCGCCAUUACGCGCUGGCAACACAGGACAAGGGUUGCGCUCGUUGCGCCACUUAAGGCAACACCUCACGGCACGAGCUGACGACAGCCAUGCAGCACCUGUGCGGGCUCCCGAAGGAGCGCCGUGUUUCCACGACAUUCCAGUGCAUGUCAAGCCCUGGUAAGGUUCUUCGCGUCGCGUCGAAUUAAACCACAUGCUCCGCUGCUUGUGCGGGUCCCCGUCAAUUCCUUUGAGUUUUAGCCUUGCGGCCGUACUCCCCAGGCGGGGUGCUUAAUGCGUUAGCUUCGGCACGGAAGGGGUCGAUAUCCCCCCACACCUAGCACCCAACGUUUACGGCUAGGACUAC
rnacentral:misc_RNA from 1 species